CAAUAAUACACACAUCUUGCAGUGUUCUGGAGAGAAGGUAACGCGGUGGUAUUAGGGUUUAUCAAUUAAGGGGUAGCAGAUGGAUGUUAGUAAUUUAGAAGACGACUAAGAUUGUUCGUCAACUGAAUUACUGUCUUUUAUAUAGGUUCUGAAACAAAGGAUAAGGACAAGAGUGUGCAGUCAGAUAGGGCGUAAAGUCUACAACUUUCAGGAUUUUGCUAUAUAUCAGGAAAGUAUUCUAUUCUUGGCUUGUAAUUAUUGCAAGUAAUCCUAUUCUAUAUUAACAGUGAAAAGCAGCAAGCGUUUUACCCUUUCUUGUGAUUAAAACAAGUUGACGAUCUAUAGCUGAUAGCAUUUUAAGAGAGAUGUUCUGAUUAUCUUUUAGUCAAAUUCUUGAAAGUAUAAUUGAGCUCUUUUAUAGCUUGGAAUUAUUGUGGACUUACUGCUUUGAUAUUAUGAGAUAAGCCUGAUCUUCUGUCAUUAACUUAUUCCUUAAACUUUGGUAAUCAAAAUAUAUUCUAUUUAUAGCCGGGAGAGCUUGUUAAUCAUAAGCUGUAUUACCAAGUUUAAAAUUUAACCAGGUAUUGAGUAAUAACUGAGUUCCAUAGUAUUGUGGAAUUAAAGAUAAAAAGGUGGACGUAAGAGGCUAGUAGAUAGUCCAGCCGGAAGGCCAGUUAGAUGCCUAUUUGAUACCCUAGUGUCGUUACCGGUGGGACUUAGAUCCAGUGCCCGGGACGAUCCAUCGCCGGUGGGACUUAGAUCCAGUGCCCGGAAUGAUUCGUUACCGGUGGGACUUAGAUCCAGUGCCCGGGACAAAGGACUUUACGCGGCUGAUCACCCGUAUUGUCUGUGAAGUUAGUUGAAAGUAUUGGAACUAAAUAACUGGGUUGAAAGGAAGAAUAUAUAUGAUAUAAAGAAAAGUUUUGGGAAAGACAAGGCUUCUAAUAAACCUGGUGGUUACACAGAUCCCGGUAUUGUUGUUCAUUUUCAAUUAAGUUCAUUUGCUUCUAUGAAUGUUGAACAUCAUUAGUUAGUUAUAUAUGUAUAAAUUGUGUCUCUAGCUUAUGAUUUCAUUUCAACGCAUAUUUAAUUAUUUUAUCCAUGUUAUAUCUUGCUGAGCAAUGUUUUGCUCACUCUGGCUACUGUUUCCAACCCUUUUAAGCUAGAAUCAAAGCCGACACGUCAGCAUAGGGCGGCGCGUAAGAGUUUGAUCAGGAGGCCAGAGCUAGCUAAGUUCCACUUUAGGGAGAACAUAGGGAGUAUAGUCUGAACUGUGUUGUAAUCUGUAACUGUGGGGAAGCUUGUUUUGAGAUAUCGUGUUAAAAGUUAUAGUUGAUUAUUAGUUGUGAUUUUUAUCAAAGUUUGGCUAAUAAUGGAGAUUUAGUGUGUAAUAACAUUUAGUAAGCAUAUUCUGUUUUCAGUAUUAUAACCUGUGCGCGAUCCUCAAGUUUUAGGGGUCAACUCUA